rnacentral:tRNA from 1 species
AGGGUAGGGCACGCCAGAGAGGGGCUUCUAACCCCACCUCUAAUAAGUAUUAUUCUACUCUU